CCAUUGUUUACAGCAUGGAGCUAAGGGAAAAGAAUUCUAUGAAAUUCUUCUUAUCUUUCAUCUUCCUACAUGAUAGAAGACUCUGAAUUACAUACCAUAUUUCUACAAUGCUGCAACGAAUCUCAGGCCCUUAUGUUCCAAGGCUGGCCUCAGAUGGUCAUGUUAGCCAUAGCUUAGGUGGGGAACAGACCCACAGCUCCAAUGGACCCUGAUUUAACCCCUAAGAUUCAUCCUCACCUGAACAUGUGACCCCAAAAUAAAGAAAUUAGUCUUACCUUGGCUACCUCUAUGCACAGCUGAGAUUUAUCCUGUUUACUCAUGGGGCCCUGCAUACUUCCUGAGACGUCCAUGAGGAAGACAAAUUCUCCACAGAGCUCUAAAUGGUUUUAGUGAGCCAAGCUGCCUCUUGUCAUUGGUUUCUUUGUAUGGAUCAAGUCAUCUUGACCAAACAUGUGAUCUGGAAAACAACAUUUGAGCAUCCCUUCUGGAAGGAAUUCACAAGAUUAAUAAAGACUGCCCCUGAUGUCCCCCUGUGGCCUGCAGAGUUGGUCACAGGAAACAGAUGAGGAAAUAUGCAUAGGAGCCAAUGGAACUUCUUGGAAAGAAAGGGACUGAGAUCUCAAUCCUUACCCUUUAAGAUCCAAAAUUAUAAAACUUUCUCUGGUGGAUUAAAAUGAUCCUGAAUGAAGACCAAGUCACUGUUGUGGGAGUAUUUCAUGGAGGAACUCACCAGAAGGAAAGGACAAAACCAGUAUUCAAUGGGACUCAAGGGGAAGUUGGAUUGGAUUCUCUCAAUGCCAUGCUGGGAACUGAUGGUGGCAACCACACUGAGUGUGUAAGGCAGGUCCUCGAAAGGGACUACAGGAGUCUUCCUAUUAAGAGAAUCAACAGAUGGGUCUGGUCUUACUCAUUGACCUACUACUACUAGAAGCUGCCCGCUGACCAUUCUGAACUGAAUCAUUUGUGAGCUUGCCUCUCCCUGUUCUGUCAAAGGGUGACCUGAGCUGCAAUCUCCAGCAUCAAUGAAGGGGACUUUCACUCAAAAUACAGCUUUACGAAUUAAAAUGGAAUUACCUGGUGCACAGAGAAUGCUGAAAAAAAGUGAAACUCAUGUCCUU
rnacentral:lncRNA from 1 species